UACGAAGGGGGCUAGCGUUGUUCGGAAUUACUGGGCGUAAAGCGCACGUAGGCGGACUAUUAAGUCAGGGGUGAAAUCCCGGGGCUCAACCCCGGAACUGCUUUCGAAACUGUCGAACUUGAGUGCAGAAGAGGCAACUGGAAUUCCCAGUGUAGCGGUGAAAUGCGUAGAUAUUGGGAAGAACACCUGAGGCGAAGGCGGGUUGCUGGGCUGACACUGACGCUGAGGCGCGAAAGCCAGGGGAGCGAACGGG
rnacentral:rRNA from 1 species